GAUGAAGAACGUAGCGAAAUGCGAUAAGUAGUGUGAAUUGCAGAAUUCAGUGAAUCAUCGAAUCUUUGAACGCACAUUGCGCCCGCUAGUAUUCUAGCGGGCAUGCCUGUUCGAGCGUCAUUUCAACCAUCAAGCCCCAGACUUGUGUUGGAGCCCUGCGGCCGUCCGCAGCCUCCUAAAAUCAGUGGCGGGCUCGCUAUCACACCGAGUGCAGUAGUUUACUCUUCGCUCAGGACGUGUAGCGGGUUCCGGCCGUGAAACCCCCCAAUUUUCAAGGUUGACCUCGGAUCAGGUAGGAAUACCCGCUGAACUUAAGCAUAUCAAUAAGCGGAGGA
rnacentral:misc_RNA from 1 species